rnacentral:rRNA from 1 species
UGAGGAAUCUUGCGCAAUGGGGGAAACCCUGACGCAGCAACGCCGCGUGAGUGAGGAAGGCCUUCGGGUCGUAAAGCUCUGUCAGAUGGAAAGAAAUGCUUGGGGGUAAAUAGCCCCUUUGCUUGACGGUACCAUCAGAGGAAGCACCGGCUAACUCCGUGCCAGCAGCCGCGGUAAUACGGGGGGUGCAAGCGUUGUUCGGAAUCAUUGGGCGUAAAGAGCGUGUAGGCGGCUUGAUAAGUCAGAUGUGAAAGCCCCGGGCUUAACCUGGGAAGUGCAUUUGAAACUGUCAUGCUUGAGUAGGGGAGAGGGAAGUGGAAUUCCUGGUGUAGAGGUGAAAUUCGUAGAUAUCAGGAGGAACACCAGUGGCGAAGGCGACUUCCUGGCCCUAUACUGACGCUGAGACGCGAGAGCGUGGGUAGCAAACAGG